CCUACGGGAGGCAGCACUGGGGAAUAUUGGGCAAUGGGCGCAAGCCUGACCCAGCAACGCCGCGUGAAGGAAGAAGGCCUUCGGGUUGUAAACUUCUUUUGUCAGGGACGAAGCAAGUGACGGUACCUGACGAAUAAGCCACGGCUAACUACGUGCCAGCAACCGCGGCAAUACGUAGGUGGCACGCGUUAUCCGGAUUUACUGGGUGUAAAGGGCGUGUAGGCGGGACUGCAAGUCAGAUGUGAAAACCACGGGCUCAACCUGUGACCUGCAUUUGAAACUGGAGUUCUUGAGUACUGGAGAGGCAGACGGAAUUCCUAGUGUAGCGGUGAAAUGCGUAGAUAUUAGGAGGAACACCGGUGGCGAAGGCGGUCUGCUGGACAGCAACUGACGCUGAGGCGCGAAAGCGUGGGGAGCAAACAGGAUUAGAUACCCCAGUAGUC
rnacentral:rRNA from 1 species